rnacentral:rRNA from 1 species
GUGCCAGCCGCCGCGGUAAUACGUAGGUCCCGAGCGUUGUCCGGAUUUAUUGGGCGUAAAGCGAGCGCAGGCGGUUAGAUAAGUCUGAAGUUAAAGGCUGUGGCUUAACCAUAGUACGCUUUGGAAACUGUUUAACUUGAGUGCAAGAGGGGAGAGUGGAAUUCCAUGUGUAGCGGUGAAAUGCGUAGAUAUAUGGAGGAACACCGGUGGCGAAAGCGGCUCUCUGGCUUGUAACUGACGCUGAGGCUCGAAAGCGUGGGGAGCAAACAGGAUUAGAUACCCUGGUAGUCCACGCCGUAAACGAUGAGUGCUAGGUGUUAGACCCUUUCCGGGGUUUAGUGCCGCAGCUAACGCAUUAAGCACUCCGCCUGGGGAGUACGACCGCAAGGUUGAAACUUAAAUGAAUUGACGG